rnacentral:rRNA from 1 species
UUAAAUUGAAGAGUUUGAUCAUGGCUCAGAUUGAACGCUGGCGGCAGGCCUAACACAUGCAAGUCGAACGGUAACAGGAAGCAGCUUGCUGCUUUGCUGACGAGUGGCGGACGGGUGAGUAAUGUCUGGGAAACUGCCCGAUGGAGGGGGAUAACUACUGGAAACGGUAGCUAAUACCGCAUAACGUCGCAAGACCAAAGAGGGGGACCUUAGGGCCUCUUGCCAUCGGAUGUGCCCAGAUGGGAUUAGCUAGUAGGUGGGGUAACGGCUCACCUAGGCGACGAUCCCUAGCUGGUCUGAGAGGAUGACCAGCCACACUGGAACUGAGACACGGUCCAGACUCCUACGGGAGGCAGCAGUGGGGAAUAUUGCACAAUGGGCGCAAGCCUGAUGCAGCCAUGCCGCGUGUAUGAAGAAGGCCUUCGGGUUGUAAAGUACUUUCAGCGGGGAGGAAGGGAGUAAAGUUAAUACCUUUGCUCAUUGACGUUACCCGCAGAAGAAGCACCGGCUAACUCCGUGCCAGCAGCCGCGGUAAUACGGAGGGUGCAAGCGUUAAUCGGAAUUACUGGGCGUAAAGCGCACGCAGGCGGUUUGUUAAGUCAGAUGUGAAAUCCCCGGGCUCAACCUGGGAACUGCAUCUGAUACUGGCAAGCUUGAGUCUCGUAGAGGGGGGUAGAAUUCCAGGUGUAGCGGUGAAAUGCGUAGAGAUCUGGAGGAAUACCGGUGGCGAAGGCGGCCCCCUGGACGAAGACUGACGCUCAGGUGCGAAAGCGUGGGGAGCAAACAGGAUUAGAUACCCUGGUAGUCCACGCCGUAAACGAUGUCGACUUGGAGGUUGUGCCCUUGAGGCGUGGCUUCCGGAGCUAACGCGUUAAGUCGACCGCCUGGGGAGUACGGCCGCAAGGUUAAAACUCAAAUGAAUUGACGGGGGCCCGCACAAGCGGUGGAGCAUGUGGUUUAAUUCGAUGCAACGCGAAGAACCUUACCUGGUCUUGACAUCCACGGAAGUUUUCAGAGAUGAGAAUGUGCCUUCGGGAACCGUGAGACAGGUGCUGCAUGGCUGUCGUCAGCUCGUGUUGUGAAAUGUUGGGUUAAGUCCCGCAACGAGCGCAACCCUUAUCCUUUGUUGCCAGCGGUCCGGCCGGGAACUCAAAGGAGACUGCCAGUGAUAAACUGGAGGAAGGUGGGGAUGACGUCAAGUCAUCAUGGCCCUUACGACCAGGGCUACACACGUGCUACAAUGGCGCAUACAAAAAGAAGCGACCUCGCGAGAGCAAGCGGACCUCAUAAAGUGCGUCGUAGUCCGGAUUGGAGUCUGCAACUCGACUCCAUGAAGUCGGAAUCGCUAGUAAUCGUGGAUCAGAAUGCCACGGUGAAUACGUUCCCGGGCCUUGUACACACCGCCCGUCACACCAUGGGAGUGGGUUGCAAAAGAAGUAGGUAGCUUAACCUUCGGGAGGGCGCUUACCACUUUGUGAUUCAUGACUGGGGUGAAGUCGUAACAAGGUAACCGUAGGGGAACCUGCGGUUGGAUCACCUCCUUACCUUAAAGAAGC